GCUAUUCAUACACUUUUGCCAAGUCCAAGGCUCUGGCUGGGUAGAAUUGCCUCAGGACAACCUGUAGGAAAGUCCUGUUCACAGAACUCUGAUGGGAAAUAUUUAACACUCUUAGGCAGGUCACUGCUUCACAGGUCAGAACGGUUGGAUGAAGUUUCUCAGUGGGAGAUGGUGGCUAGGAGAUGGUGGGAAAUCUAUUGUGCUGUUGAACAAGAGACCUAUCAGAGUUUAUGGAAAGUGACAAUUCCCUUCUACUGAGAAGAAGCAGGGUGGGUGUGGGUGUGGGUGUGGGCGUGGGUGUGUGUGUGUGUAUGAGAGAGAGAGAGAGAGAGAAGAACAUUCAGUUGUGAAGCUCACUGGAGAAGCAGGUUGGUCCAAACAAAUGUGACAGUCCAUCAGAAAACAUAUGGUACCUUGGACAGCUCCAAGAGAUCCUAUUAGGACAGACUCCAAAGGUGUUGUCACUGCAGAGAGCUACAGCUUCAUGUAGGCUGAGUAGAUCUGGUGUGUGGUAGACUCCAUCUACCAGGAGGGCCUGGUUGGUUGGUUGGUUACAGAGUCCUAGCCUUAUUUUGUAGUCCUUGACUUCUGAGAGGCUGGAGAGACACAGCCGGGACCCUUUUAUCUUCUCAUACAUGUACACUACUUAGAAAAGUUUAAGUGGUUUAUAAGUGUGUAGUAACAACAGCAGCAACAACAUCUACUUUCCUUGAAGAUCUGUAAGUAACGCAAAUAUUACAAAUAUGCCUCAAGUACAAAGGAAAUCAAGCGUGCUGCCCUUGAAAAACUUGACAAAAUCACCAUGGUCUAAAAAUAUAAUCUUACAGUUUGAAAUCUAUUAAUUUUAACAACUGAGUGAAUUAAUUUAAGAGGUUUUUCACCCAUUAUAUGUGAAUGUAACAUACCUUUUCUUGUCCUGGAGAAUAUCUAAGAGUGAAUUAAACACAUUUUCAGAUCGCUCCACUAUGCCAGCAGGAUAUUUGUUUGUCUGCAGUUGACUUUACAAGAAUAGUUUUGAGUCCUGAAAUUAGGGGGAAGGAAUGCUUAUGAUCAUCAAGGCAUUCUGCCAAUGAAAACUUCAGAUUGAGCUAAAAAUGUCUUGUGUCCAGAUUUUUGCCUAAUAUAGGAUGCCAUUUUAAUAUAAGGGCUUCACGGAUUAUAACAGAAUUAAAUUUGAAAAGAAAUAUGAUUUUUGAUUUGGUGAGGUUUUCAGAUGAUCUCUUACUAGAAAUGUAUGGAAUAAAAUGUCUCAGUGAACCAGCAAAAUAGCAACUUGACCACACCAAACCACGUAUAAUACAUAACUGAUUCAUCCUACCCUAUGGUAUUCUGUUCCACCCUCAUUUACUGAGGAAAUCAAGUGAAACACUGAUAAUCAGUCAUUUUCCAGUGGUCUAGGUGUAUUUUUUAAAUAAAAUAAAAUAAAAUCAGAGAUAAAACAUGUAGCUAUUUCCACGUACCAUAUUCUACUUGUGUCUAACAGUGCAAUCCUGUACAUGUAUACUCAGAAGAAAGGCCCAUUGGGAUUUACGGAGCUUACACCCAGGUAAGUGGACAUAGGAUUGUAGCCCAAUUCUUUCGAUUACUGUUAGAAAUAUUUUUGCACCAUAUUUUUAUACUGUUAUUUUCUUCAUCUUUAAAAAAAAUGAAUAUGGAGAAAGUUUAUUUCCCUCUGCUUUAUACUAGAUUGAAUCUUGUGUUCAGAAAUGUUGCUGGCAAAUUGCCUUUGCUGAUGGAUGUAGACUGGCUGAAUAUUCCACUCAGACCACCAAUCCAGCGGCUCGUACCCAUUCUGGGGAUCUGCUGUUUACACACAUUUCCAUGCAAACAGCAUGGGACUUUAUUUAGUGGAUAGGGAACUCUCCCAUUUUCUUAAUUGGUACAGAUGUGGAAACACUGAACAAUAAUUUAUUUUGAAAGAAUUUACCUUUUUGCCAUUUGCCUAGGAAUCAUUUUAAGCUUUUUGCAUGCAUUGAAAUUAUAACAUACACACUCUUCCACAUUCCACUCAACCCACAUUGGGGGCAAUCAGUUUCGGGUUUCGGCUAUGAUCCAGCCAUGAUCAUAGCACAUUUCAUAUAAUUAUACAAAUGUCACUUGCUUUUCUUUCUCCAUCAGGAGAUGAUUGGGUUGCUUGCAGCUUUCAUAAUUAAAACGCUUGCUUAUUUUGACUGGCUAUAGAAAAAGAAGAUAAAAGAAUGCAGUGGAUAUACAAUUUAUGACUGAUGUGUAAAGUUCCAUGGGAAGAAAAAUAGAAGUGAAACCUGAGAUUUUUUUAUUAUUAUUCUUCCCUUAGUACUUCUUUUUUAGGAGCUUUGUACAAUAUGGGCUAAAUAUUUAAAGCAUCAUGUCUGCAUGUUCAGUGAUAUUUAGGUAGAGAGCUUCCUGUGAUCACAGGGUGGUGGUAACUUUGAAAGAAUUAUGCGUGUAACUGGUAAAGCAAAGGUAUGCUUUGUAUGCUGUAUUUUUGUAGUUAAGUUUGGCACAAAGGCAUGACAUCAUAAAUCCCUUUGCCCUAGAUUUUCACCCCAAUUGGAAGAUGUAGUGGAAGCAGAAUGUGACUCUUCUACUUUCUGCAUAUAUUCUUUGUUGCAAUAUAUGUCUAAUCCUGUAUGUUUAUGCCAGUGGACUUUAAUGUCACUAAGAAUGUCUUCCUGGCUUAAGGCCAGUGACUUGUUUUGAGAGUAAGUUAGUUGAAUGUAGAUUCCAUUGAAAUCAGUGCGACCAGAGGUGGAUUUAGGCGAUUGCAACCAAUUCUGUUACACUGGGCGCAGAGCCUCAAGGGCCUUGCAAGGGACCCCACAACUACUAUUUAGAAUGGAGAGUGAGAAACAGGAUGCUGAAUGUUGCCAUCACACAGGGCGCCACUGAAAUGUGAGACCCCAAGGUCUGUCACUGGUGGGGUAUUCAUGACUAAAACCCCAGGGAUUUCAAUGGGAACUUACACCAACCAGACUAAGGUGCUUCCAAAUGACCUGUUUAUUGAGCAUUCACCCUGAUUAGUUUGUUGGAAGGUUAAAUCACCUUGGCUAUUAGUGAGCAUUCAUCCUGAUUUGUUUAUGGAAAUGUUAGAUGAUGACGGGUCCAGAAAUGCAAUUGCCCAUCACUUCCUUUAUUACAAAAAGUUUGAUCUUUGGGGGAAGCAGAUUUGUUGUGCAAGAUCUCCCAAUAAACUGUAAUUGUGCAACCUGAAUCUGUCACUUUGUGAUUGAGCCCCACUCAAAAAUAGUGACAGCUUGGAAGUCUGGAUAUAAACCAGUAUGUAUACUGGGUUAUACCAUAUACCAGUAUAUACAAACUAUAGUCCUCUGAUAGAGCCCUGCUCCCCAUACAUCUCUCUCUAUGCAGUUGCUGUUACAUGCAGCCCCUCUGACUUUUGUCACCUUCCCAGAACCAUCCUAUUCUCUUGUAGGUGUUUUGAAGAUAUAAAUAGUUUCGCACACCACAAUUCCCCAGAAUUGCUUCUUGUUCUCCAAAGGAUUCCUUUCUCCUUCCCCAGUUUCUGCAUGCCUCCUACCCCUUAUCCAUUCAUGCUUCUUCUCCCCGAGUCUCCCCUCCCUCUUCCUACACUUGUGAGCCCCCAGCUGAAUCAUCACCCCUUUCACAAGUGUUCAGACAGACCCUUAAAAAAGUAAUAAUAUGCUUCUCUUUUCCUCUUUAAAGCUCUUUCCCCUUCCUUCACCGAGCUGCACUGCAACAUAUUCCCUCCCCUCCAUCUCCUGUGAAGCCAGAAGUCAUCCUGCAACUCACCCCUCCUCUCCCAGCCUCUCUUCUGGGAAGCCUUUCAUAGUGAACAAAUGAAGCUGCUG